rnacentral:lncRNA from 1 species
GGUUUAGGGUUGAAUUUAGACCUUGAGUAAUGUCUUUACAAUUUUUCUUUUUAAAAAUUUUUCAGUAAUGGCAAAUGUGACCCAUGUCAACCAGCAUUUGGACCUGUUCUGUUGAAGGCUUUACUUGAUAAUAUGUCAUUUUUACCUGCAGCAACAACUGGUGGUUCUGUCUAUUGGUAUUUUGUCUUACUGAAUUAUGUGAAAGAUGAAGAUCUGGCUGGAUGCAGUACAGCUUGUGCAUCUUUGCUUACUGCAGUGUCCAGACAGUUACAGGACAGGCUAACACCAAUGGAGGCUUUACUUCAGACAAGAUAUGGAUUAUAUAGCUCACCAUUUGAUCCAGUCCUCUUUGAUUUGGAGAUGAGUGGCUCUUCUUGUAAAAAUGUUUAUAACAGCAGCAUUGGUGUCCAGUCAGAUGAAAUUGAUUUAUCAGAUGUCCUUUCAGGUAGUGAUUUCUUUUAUUAAAGGAAAUUCUGAAUGUUGUAUCUUGGAUUUAAGUUGCCAUUUGACUUAAUAGAUUAUAGUCAUGAUGUUUUGUCUUUAGAAAACUAAAAUUCCUUAGAACUUAUCAUAUGAAUUAUUAAAAUGUUUCCUAGAAGUUCUUAACUUCCUCUUUCCCUCUGAAGAAAAUCCCAGUAUAUUAAAGUCAUAUUUGAAAGGGUUGUGACUUUAAUUUUUUGUUUUUGUUAUGCAUUUCAUUUC